GUCAAAAGCAAAAUACUUCGGACUGCGGAGUGGCUACAGAAAUUGAAAUCUACAGACGAUUUGAGGGAGUCAUCGACACGUCUGGGCCCUAUGGCUGACCACCUACAGUAGAUCGCCUAUGUAGAGGCCCAGCUGCUGAAGAUCAUUGCUGUGCGGUCCUGCUGAUAAUGACUGGGAAGACCUUUAUUUUGUAAAAUAAACGAUGAUAAAAACAAGGCAUCUCCAGACGGGGCGUCAACGUCACAGCUAGUCAGCAGGUUUGUGAAAUAUUUACUGCGGAUGAUGGUUCAUGAAGAAUACAUGAGGACAGUGGAGCAGUGCUUUACGGCCUUGUAGCUGUGCAAACCCCUGCCAGGAAGGACUGCUGCUCGCUCAGCUGACAAAGUUUUCACUGGGCUGCCUGGCAUGAAAAGAUUUCAGAUACAUGAUGCAAGCUGCAUCCAAACCACCCAUAGUCAUCUCUGACCCUUACCCAUAAUUCUAUAUAAAUGAGCUGGACAUUAUCUUCUAUUAAAGAUACAAAGAAGGUCUGCACUCUAAAAGAGACUUUAAUAAAAGUUCA